rnacentral:rRNA from 1 species
GAGUUUGAUCAUGGCUCAGAUUGAACGCUGGCGGCAUGCCUUACACAUGCAAGUCGAACGGCAGCACGGGAGCUUGCUCCUGGUGGCGAGUGGCGAACGGGUGAGUAAUGCAUCGGAACGUAUCCUGGAGUGGGGGAUAACGUAGCGAAAGUUACGCUAAUACCGCAUAUUCUGUGAGCAGGAAGCGGGGGACCUUCGGGCCUCGCGCUCUUGGAGCGGCCGAUGUCGGAUUAGCUAGUUGGUGAGGUAAAGGACUCACCAAGGCGACGAUCCGUAGCAGGUCUGAGAGGAUGAUCUGCCACACUGGAACUGAGACACGGUCCAGAC